GCAAACAAACAAAUAAAUUUAAAAGCCAGGAAGUGAGAAAGGGAGAGACAACCAUUUUUUGUGGCAGCUGGGAGGACUAAAAAAGUGGCUGACCAACCACUGACCUCGCCAUCUCCAGACUGUGUUGCAAGAAGAGAAGAUGAGGGGAAGAGUCGAGGAUCAGCCUGUGAGCUUUCUGGAGGGGUGACUAUGCUAGAUGGACACUUGGCCUGCUCCAGCAGAUCUCCUAGUUAGCUUGGCAGGCAGCUAUUCUGGGAGAAGCUUUGUGGACACUUGGCCCUGGAGCCUCAGCUUGCACACACUGCUAGAAAGCCUCUGACUCCAUCCUGGCUACUAAGCCUGAGCAAUUAAACUAGUGCUACUUG